ACCAAGACCUGAGCAGUCGAGCACCGCUUUAGAUCAAUGACUCACUGAGUUGAUUCUCUACUGUAGGAGGAGAAGAGGGGGGGUCCUGACGACGAGUGCCAAGAACGUGGUCAGUGUAACGCUGAUAAGGCAAAGGGAAAAGGAGGAUGUGAGGACAAGGGACCAGGGGACAAAGGUCAAGGUCAAGGAUGUGGCCGUGGAGCGGAGAUGAAAAAGGAGCACUGUGGUGGCCGCGGUGGAGGCCCCCCCAAGGACAAAUGAACCAAAUGUCACUGAACGUCAUUGAAUAGAAAUAUCUAAUAAAAUGAACCUGGAAAUAUA